AUUGAACGCUGGCGGCAGGCCUAACACAUGCAAGUCGAACGAGUGGCGGACGGGUGAGUAAUGUAUGGGAAACUGCCCGAUGGCGGGGGAUAACUACUGGAAACGGUAGCUAAUACCGCAUACCAUCAGAUGUGCCCAGAUGGGAUUAGCUUGUUGGUGGGGUAAAGGCUCACCAAGGCGACGAUCCCUAGCGGGUCUGAGAGGAGGACCAGCCACACUGGAACUGAGACACGGUCCAGACUCCUACGGGAGGCAGCAGUGGGGAAUGUUGCACAAUGGGGGCAAUCCUGAUUCAGCCAUGCCGCGUGUAUGAAGAAGGCCUUCGGGUUGUAAAGUACUUUCGGCGGGGAGGCGUUACCCGCAGAAGAAGCACCGGCUAACUCCGUGCCAGCAGCCGCGGUAAUAC
rnacentral:rRNA from 1 species